rnacentral:rRNA from 1 species
UACAGAGGGUGCGAGCGUUGUCCGGAAUCACUGGGCGUAAAGGGCGCGUAGGCGGCGCGGUAAGCGUGCGGUGAAAGCCCGGGGCUCAACCCCGGGUCGGCCGUGCGGACUGCCGGGCUGGAGCACUGUAGAGGCAGGUGGAAUUCCGGGUGUAGCGGUGGAAUGCGUAGAGAUCCGGAAGAACACCGGUGGCGAAGGCGGCCUGCUGGGCAGUAGCUGACGCUGAAGCGCGAAAGCGUGGGGAGCAAACAGG